AGUUCGGAUUGUAGUCUGNAACCCGACUACAUGAAGCUGGAAUCGCUAGUAAUCGCAGGUCAGCAUACUGCGGUGAAUACGUUCCCGGGUCUUGUACACACCGCCCGUCACACCAUGGGAGCCGGAAAUGCCCGAAGCCAGUGACCCAACCUUAGGGAGGGAGCUGUCGAAGGUGGAGCCGGUAACUGGGGUGAAGUCGUAACAAGGUAAC
rnacentral:rRNA from 1 species